GGCGAAGGAGCUGUAGUCUGUGUCCACGACGCGCACGUCCAGGUAGCCCAAGGCUGCGGAGAGUCAGGCUGCCGAUCGGCCUGGAGAAGUGGACGGGCCCGGGCACCAACCCCACCCACGCCUGCCCCUGCUGCUGGGGGCUCAACCGGAGUAAACGACUUUGUAACUUGACUUCAUCCUCUCCAUUUACAUCGGGAAACGUGUAGGGCUGAGGGCCCUACAGCAUCAUGGGCUUCUAAGAAUUUACACGGGAGCAUCGGGUGGGAAAGUGGAACCUGAAAGUGGACGAGGAUGAUGACCAUCAGAACCCGGCACCACGGAGAGGAGGUGUUUAAGCCCCUGAAUGUCUGCGGCUGGCCUGGCUAGUGUCAGGUCUUCCUCAAGAGCCAGAUGGAGCAGAGUUUUCAGUGAACUCCCUCAGUGAAAGGGGAACUACCCUAUGGCCUGCUAAGUAACUGGCACCUCCCCAGUCGCUGGCGUUACCACAAGUCCUGCCUGCUAAGUAACAGGCGCCUUCCCAGGCGCUGGCGCUUCCACAAGGUUCUCACUCUUGUCUCCUGAUCACUCCUCACAAUGUCCCUUCAGUUCCUAAUAUAUUUAACCCAAUUAUGUCUAUACUAUAAGACAGAAAUGUUCCUACACUGUAAUACUAAAUAUUAAUAGAGAAUAAUGAUGUAGGCCAGGUGUGGUGGCUCACACCUGUAAUCUCAGCACUUUGGGAGGCCAAGGCAGGUGGAUCACUAGGUCAAGAGAUCGAGACCAUCCUGGCCAACAUAGUGAAACCCAGUUUCUAUUAUUAAAAUAAAUAAAUAAAUUUAAAAAGUAAUAAAUAAAAAAGAAUAAUGAUGUUA